rnacentral:rRNA from 1 species
AACAGGAUUAGAUACCCUGGUAGUCCACGCCGUAAACGAUGUCUACUAGUCGUUGGGUCCCUUGAGGACUUAGUGACGCAGCUAACGCAAUAAGUAGACCGCCUGGGGAGUACGGCCGCAAGGUUAAAACUCAAAUGAAUUGACGGGGGCCCGCACAAGCGGUGGAGCAUGUGGUUUAAUUCGAUGCAACGCGAAGAACCUUACCUGGUCUUGACAUAUCUAGAAUCCUGCAGAGAUGCGGGAGUGCCUUCGGGAAUUAGAAUACAGGUGCUGCAUGGCUGUCGUCAGCUCGUGUCGUGAGAUGUUGGGUUAAGUCCCGCAACGAGCGCAACCCUUGUCCUUAGUUACCAGCGGUUUGGCCGGGAACUCUAAGGAUACUGCCAGUGACAAACUGGAGGAAGGCGGGGACGACGUCAAGUCAUCAUGGCCCUUACGACCAGGGCUACACACGUGCUACAAUGGUAGGUACAGAGGGCAGCUACACAGCGAUGUGAUGCGAAUCUCAAAAAGCCUAUCGUAGUCCAGAUUGGAGUCUGCAACUCGACUCCAUGAAGUAGGAAUCGCUAGUAAUCGCGGAUCAGAAUGCCGCGGUGAAUACGUUCCCGGGCCUUGUACACACCGCCCGUCACACCAUGGGAGUUGAUUGCACCAGAAGUGGUUAGCCUAACCUUUUAGGAAGGCGAUCACCACGGUGUGGUUGAUGACUGGGGGUGAAGUCGUAACAAGGUAACC